AUGCCUUGAAUUUCGCUUUGAUGGUCGCCGCAUUCGCAUAAAUCAAUAAAAGUGCAGCCGCUCAAGAAGAGGAAGAACGAGAAGAAGCAGCCAACAACAAUUACAACUGAACUGCAGCAGCAACAACAACUGCCGAAGGAGGAACACGAAAAGCUUGGAAAAUGCAGCGAAAUUUUCCCAACCUGACAGAUAAGGAAUAAUUUGGUGGAGGCUAGAUAAAAUAGCUAUCAAACUUUAAUAAAUUUUAAAUGGCAGAAGGCAGCAUAAUUUCGUUCCAUCUACGCACUUUGCCACAUAUUUUAUCCAUUCAUUUAACUUAACGAAGAAUGUAUAUAAACAUUUAGAUUUGGUAACGAUUCCACCAACGAGCCGUUCAGAAGCGUAGAGAAGCUAAUGAUAUAUAAUGGCUAUUCGGUUUUCGAUUUCCGAAACAACAAAUUGCAAUUUUUACGACUGGGAAUCUUUGGGGCAAAUGAAACUUUCUUCCUUCAAACUGACGAUAAGAAUCAGUGAACAAGUUUAAAAUGCCAUCGCAGGGCAAAAUAGAAGAAUUCCAAAUAACCAAAAUGGGCUGAAAACCAAAAAAAAACCAAACAAAAAUCAAAAAAUGCACACAGGUCGAUCGUUGGAGGUGGGUUCCAUAAAUUUUCAUUAGAAAUGCACGCGGCAGCAGCUAAAUGAUAAGAGACUUUAUGGCCCUUGUUUAUAUAAAAUCUGGCUUUAAUUG
ensembl:ncRNA lncRNA:CR45792 long non-coding RNA:CR45792